rnacentral:tRNA from 1 species
GCUAGCGUAGCUUAAC